UACGUAGGGGGCUAGCGUUGUCCGGAAUCAUUGGGCGUAAAGAGCGUGUAGGCGGCCCGGUAAGUCCGCUGUGAAAGUCGGGGGCUCAACCCUCGAAUGCCGGUGGAUACUGUCGGGCUAGAGUACGGAAGAGGCGAGUGGAAUUCCUGGUGUAGCGGUGGAAUGCGCAGAUAUCAGGAGGAACACCAAUAGCGAAGGCAGCUCGCUGGGACGUUACUGACGCUGAGGCGCGAAAGCCAGGGGAGCGAACGGG
rnacentral:rRNA from 1 species